rnacentral:lncRNA from 1 species
AUAACUACUCUUAAGCUAAAAACAAUUCCUUCACUUUAAUCCUUGCAUAGGCUUGACGGCAAAUCUUUGCCACAUACAACUUUAUAAUGCUAAUCAACCAACAGGCUUGCAAUUUGCAUGCAUUCAACUUGGUUCAACAUUCAUCAAUAUACUAGGGUUUUGAGGAAUAACAGGCUUGCAAUUUGCAUGCAUUCAACUUGGUUCAACAUUCAUCAAUAUACUAGGGUUUUGCUUCUGAACUUUAUCCACUUAGUUUAUUGCUCCCUUCUAGAUCCAAACUCAGCAGCCUUUUUUUUUUGAAUUGGUAAAAACUGUGACACAGUGUGGGCAAUAAUGUGACUGAACAAGUUUUGCUCUAUAAGCAGAGGCUUGGGCUAUAACUUGGUUCGAGUUGCUGCGUACCGUUAAUUUUCUUGACAAACUCAGCAGCCUUACAAGCCUGUACUGACUAGAUUCUACUUGUAUCUACUCAAUGUCUCAAACUACUUUAGUUUAUAGAUCCCACAUUGAGCCAAAAGUUUUUCCUCGCCAGGUUUACAAGCCUAUGGCUCACAAAAAAAAAGGCUCUCAAAAUUGCUGAGGAAGAUGUACAAGAAGACAUGCGACAGAGAACACAACCAAGUAUGCAAACUUACCCACAUUAGGCAUAUAUGUUUUUUAAUUCUUUUGAUAGCUGUUAUCAGGUAUAACAAUGAGAACUCCUAAACUUCAAUACAAGGUAGAGUGCCAUGUUUGAGUUCAACGGUUUCACUUCAGAUUGAAGCUUGACUUAAAAGUUUCAAAGGUAAACUAAGCCUUGAAGCAUCCAUCAUAUGCAGAGAAACAUAUAAGCGGCUGUUUAACGACCACAGAAGAACUGAAAUUACGCAAUAGACAGCAAGACACAACACCAGAGAAAGAAACAAUAAUAAUUACAUAGACAAUUGGUUUAAGGAAAAACAGUCUAAUUAGUUUUACUAAUGAAUCCAUUUCUGCAUAGA